rnacentral:tRNA from 2 species
UAGAAUAGGGUGUGUUUUGGGUAGCACGAAGGAUUUUGAAUCCUUAGGAGCAGGUUCGAUGCCUGUAAUUCUAG